UGGCAGCCUUGGAGUUGCUCUGAACCUAUUCUGGUUCUGAGGCCUGCCGCAUUCUGGAACUUUUCCUUUUUUCUUUUGAGACAGAGUUUUGCUCUAGUCUCCCAGGCUACAGUGAAAUGGGGUGAUCUUGACUCACUGCAACCUCUCCCUCUCAGGUUCAAGCAGUUCUCCUGCCUCAGCCUCCCAAGAAGCUGGGAUUACAGGCACCUGCUACCAUUCCUGGCUAAGUUUUGUAUUUUUAGUAGAGACGAGAUUUUGCCAUGUUGGCCAGCCAGGCUGGUCUCAAAUUCCUGACCUUAGGUGAUUUACUCGCCUCGGCCUCCCAAAGUGCUGAGGCUACAGGCGUGAACCACCACACCUGGCCUGGAAUUAGUUUUUCAUCAAUUAAUCCCUUAGUUUGUACAGAGUUUUUCAUUUAACAGUUGGCAUCAGGAGUGGGAUUCAAAGUAGAGCUUCCAGGGAGCCUCAGGAGCAUUGACUGACCAAGUGAGACACCUUCCAGGGUCAAUGUGUCCAUUGGUCACUUGCAGCAACUGGGGAUCAUGGCCCAUCCUUAUACUGCAAGGCACUGUUAAAAUAGCCUGCAUACUCAAUAAAUGGCUUCUGUACAACAGCUUAUUAGAAAAAAAACACCCUGAUUCAACAAACACAAAAUUACAUCUUCAUAAAUGCAAUCAGAAGAAAACAACAGAGGAAACAGAGAAGAAUCACAGGAACUGUACAUGCUGCUCGUUGAAGGAGGUGAAACAGAGCUGCCUAGGUGAAAACCAGGAGUCCUAUCCACUAUGCCACCGCGAAGCAGAACAGCUGCAUCUGGAGCUUGGACUCUUGGCCUUCCUAACCCGGAAGAAUGGAGGAUGGGGCCACGGUUUUGCGGUUACCUGGUGCUUCUGUCUCACAGCUCUUAAGAUUCUGUCCUGA
rnacentral:lncRNA from 1 species